rnacentral:rRNA from 1 species
CGCGCAGGCGGUCGGUCAAGUCGAGUGUGAAAGCCCCCGGCUCAACUGGGGAGGGUCAUUCGAAACUGGUCGACUCGAAGGCAGGAGAGGGUAGUGGAAUUCCCGGUGUAGUGGUGAAAUGCGUAGAUAUCGGGAGGAACACCAGUGGCGAAGGCGACUACCUGGCCUGUUCUUGACGCUGAGGCGCGAAAGCUAGGGGAGCAAACG